rnacentral:rRNA from 1 species
UACGUAGGGGGCAAGCGUUGUCCAGAAUUACUGGGCGUAAAGCGUGCGCAGGCGGCGCCGCAAGUCAGGCGUGAAAUCCCCGAGCUUAACUUGGGAAUGGCGCUUGAAACUACGGUGCUGGAGUGUGGAAGAGGGAGGUGGAAUUCCACGUGUAGCGGUGAAAUGCGUAGAGAUGUGGAGGAACACCGAUGGCGAAGGCAGCCUCCUGGGCCAACACUGACGCUCAUGCACGAAAGCGUGGGGAGCAAACAGG